GGUGAACGCUGGCGGCGUGCCUAAUACAUGCAAGUCGAGCGAACAGACGAGGGGCUUGCUCCUCUGACGUUAGCGGCGGACGGGUGAGUAACACGUGGAUAACCUACCUAUAAGACUGGGAUAACUUCGGGAAACCGGAGCUAAUACCGGAUAAUAUAUUGAACCGCAUGGUUCAAUAGUGAAAGACGGUUUUGCUGUCACUUAUAGAUGGAUCCGCGCCGCAUUAGCUAGUUGGUAAGGUAACGGCUUACCAAGGCAACGAUGCGUAGCCGACCUGAGAGGGUGAUCGGCCACACUGGAACUGAGACACGGUCCAGACUCCUACGGGAGGCAGCAGUAGGGAAUCUUCCGCAAUGGGCGAAAGCCUGACGGAGCAACGCCGCGUGAGUGAUGAAGGUCUUCGGAUCGUAAAACUCUGUUAUUAGGGAAGAACAAAUGUGCAAGUAACUAUGCACGUCUUGACGGUACCUAAUCAGAAAGCCACGGCUAACUACGUG
rnacentral:rRNA from 1 species